GGAAGGGCGACCCGAUUGGCGACGGGACCCGCUUGGAAAGCGGGCGAGCGAUGAGCCUUGCGGGUUCGACUCCCGCCCCUUCCG
rnacentral:tRNA from 1 species